rnacentral:tRNA from 3 species
GCCGCUAUCGUCUAGUGGUUAGGACGCCAGGUUUUCAUCCUGGCAACCGGGGUCCGAUUCCCCGUGGCGGUACCA